rnacentral:pre_miRNA from 1 species
CCUGGGGCAGCCCCUCCAGGACUGUCUAACCUGAGAAUGAUGUUUCCAGAGGCACUCUCAGGCUCGUCAGCCCGGGAGGUGCUGCCCCUUC